UGAGAAGUAAGGUAUUACAGAGAAGAACUCAUAUCUAUUCUUCCACUUCUAACUGUCCUGUCUGGCUGGAGUGAUAGUCAUGCCAUUAAGUAAGCCAAGAAACUCCUCCACGCCUUCUGCUUCCCAAUCUUGAAGAGGUCGAGGCACACCCAUUCGACGGGGAUUAGGAGGCAUAUCAAUGCUAAAGUGGUCUCCCACUGGAGAUUAUUUUUUCGCAGCGAAGUUUGAUGGGACAUUUUAUCUUUGGGAGACAAACACAUGGACAUCAGAACCUUGGUCCUCAACCAGUGGCUUUGUCACGUUGACCAGUUUCAAGCUCGGAGAAAGGAUUGUUGUAGUUUAGAUGACAGAUGUAGAACUUGUAGCCACAACUCUUGAAGAUUGGUUAUAUUUUCUAGCAGGUGCAUUCAUUUUCAUUG